CCGUAUUUUAAAAAUGGAAUCUGCUACGUCAGUGUUUAGAUAUUUUAUACCGCUUUGCUUCCUCAAGUCAAUAAUUUACUGCUACCAUUUUUCAAUUUCCGGAAAAAUGUAUUGGGAAAGUUUCACUAGAGCAUCUGGCUGAUAUUUGUGUGAGUUUUGUGGUGGGAGGAAGAAGACUGACACUUGGGGUGUUGAGCGAAUUUUACAUAUAAGAAGCGCCCUUUAUAAUUCAGUUUUUUGUUGAUUGAUAGUAUCCUAUUCCGAUGUUAUGUUAGGAUUACUAAGUGGAAAUCAGGUUUCUGAUACUUGCCUUAAAUGCAGGAACUUUUAAUUAGUAAAUGGGAAAUUACAACUUAGAAUGCAUAAUUUUGUUGCUUGACAGUAUUAUACUCCGUUGUUAAUUUAAGAUUGCUAGGCUAUACUGCAAUUAUUGAGUGGAAUAUCAGGUUUUUUAUUUUUUAUUUUUACACUAACUGUGUGAAUUUCCAACUAGGGAUUUGGCUAAAGAAAAUCUUUGUAUUGGUAGCAUCGAUACGAGUUCAUUUCGUGG
rnacentral:lncRNA from 1 species